rnacentral:rRNA from 1 species
GACGAACGCUGGCGGCGUGCUUAACACAUGCAAGUCGAACGAGUGGCGGACGGGUGAGUAAUGUGUGGGAAACUGCCCGAUGGAGGGGGAAAACUACUGGAAACGGUAGCUAAUACCACAUACCAUCGGAUGUGCCCAGAUGGGUUUUGCUUGUAGGAGGGGUAACGGCUCACCUAGGCGACGAUCCCUAGCUGGUAUGAGAGGAUGACCAGCCACACUGGAACUGAGACACGGUCCAGACUCCUACGGGAGGCAGCAGUGGGGAAUAUUGCACAAUGGGCGCAAGCCUGAUGCAGCCAUGCCGCGUGUAUGAAGAAGGCCGUCGGGUUGUAAAGUACUUUCAGCGAGGAGGCGUUACUCGCAGAAGAAGCACCGGCUAACUCCGUGCCAGCAGCCGCGGUAAUUC